CAUAUAGUAAUAGUAUCAACCAUUUUUUCCACAAAUCGGCCAAAAAGGCGAAUGCACAGCUAAGUCGACCGUUUCAAGCUGAAUAGAAACAGAAAAGAAAAGAAAAGAAGAGGAAAAAAAUUAUAAGCCAACACAUCAAAGGAACGAGUGAGAAAGCAAGCAAUCUAACGUGGGAGAGCAAAACUGUGCAGCGUAUUUUACAUUUGUGGUCAGAGAGUGGAUUGGAAAUGAAAGAGGCGUACGUAUUGCGUGGAGAUUCAAAGAAACGGACAACGCACAACCAUUUGAAUCAAUAGUAAGAAACGAAUUAAAAAUUCAAAACAAUAUCACAUAUUGUUUAAAUAUGCUUGGUUAGGGGACAUAAUGGAAUUUGUAUGGUCUUUUUGCCAAAACCAGUCAACACAGUGUGCAAUGUGCAUUUAGUUUUCAUGGCUGCAACCAUUGGCAAAUGUUCGCCUGGCAAAAUAUCUUGCAAAAACAGACAACUGACAUCGCAUGGUAACUUUUUUUUUUUAAUUUCAAACCAAACUAUAAAAAUAUAUGGAAAAAAUGCGAAAAAAAUCCAAUGAACAGCUGUUACAUCGCAUAAACGACGUAAAAAAAAUAUG